ACGAACGCUGGCGGCGUGCUUAACACAUGCAAGUCGUACGGUAAGGCCCUUUCGGGGGUACACGAGUGGCGAACGGGUGAGUAACACGUGAGUAACCUGCCCACAACUUUGGGAUAACGCUAGGAAACUGGUGCUAAUACUGGAUAUGUGCUCCUGCUGCAUGGUGGGGGUUGGAAAGCUCCGGCGGUUGUGGAUGGACUCGCGGCCUAUCAGCUUGUUGGUGGGGUAGUGGCCUACCAAGGCGGCGACGGGUAGCCGGCCUGAGAGGGUGACCGGCCACAUUGGGACUGAGAUACGGCCCAGACUCCUACGGGAGGCAGCAGUGGGGAAUAUUGCACAAUGGGCGGAAGCCUGAUGCAGCAACGCCGCGUGCGGGAUGACGGCCUUCGGGUUGUAAACCGCUUUCGCCUGUGACGAAGCGUGAGUGACGGUAAUGGGUAAAGAAGCACCGGCUAACUACGUG
rnacentral:rRNA from 1 species